CUUCGACGACAGACAUCGGCCAAGGAUAGAACCACUAACCAGAUAUUAAAGAUGCGGUGGAGUCUGUUUCUGCUUCUGAUGGGUCAGUGUUUCGUCUCCACCUGUUACCUGUAUGAGUACCACUUUAUUAGAGAAGACAAAACCUGGGAAGAAGCACAGAAAUACUGCAGAGAGAAUUAUGCAGACCUGGCC